AAAGAACUACAGGAUUCCCCUAGUAACGGCGAGUGAAGCGGGAUGAGCUCAAGCUUAAAAUCUCCGUGCAAGUUUUGCGCGGCGAAUUGUAGUCUAUAGAGGCGUGGUCAGCGUGGGCACUUGGGGCAAGUUCCUUGGAAGAGGACAGCAUGGAGGGUGAUACUCCCGUUCAUCCCUGAGUUGCUCGUGCGUACGACCCGUUUUCUUUGAGUCGCGUUGUUUGGGAAUGCAGCGCAAAGUAGGUGGUAAAUUCCAUCUAAAGCUAAAUAUUGGUGCGAGACCGAUAGCGAACAAGUACCGUGAGGGAAAGAUGAAAAGAACUUUGAAAAGAGAGUUAAAGAGUACCUGAAACUGCUGAAAGGGAACCGAAUCGUUUCCAGUGUCUAUAAUCCGUGGCAUAUUUCAUUGGCGAGUGUGUGCGUGCGUGUGCUGUGGCAGUGGCUUUUUUGGCUGCGCUCGGUGUGUGUGCUGUGUGUGCUUGCUGGUGCCCUGUGCUGCGGUGGGACGUCAAGGUCAGUUCGUAUGCUGCGGGAAAUGGCUGCCGAGGAGGUAGGGCUUACGCUUGCGUUUGUCUGUUAUAUCUUGGUGGACGAGUCGUCGCGGUUGGGACUGAGGUGCCUACAACGUGCUUUUGAGUGGGUUUGUGUCUUCGUGUGCGCCGUGUGCGGAUAGCUUGCUAUGCGUGUGUGGUUGUGUGUGGAUUGAUGCGGGCUUUAACUUGUUGCCGUUCGGGACGUUGACGAAAUGGAGCGAUCCGACCCGUCUUGAAACACGGACCAAGGAGUCUAACAUGUGUGCAAGUGUUAGGGUGUGGAAACCCCAGCGCGAAAUGAAAGUGAAGGGCAGCGCAAGUUGUCUGAGGUAGGAAACGUUGUGGGCUUCUGUCUGCGGCGUGGCACUAUCGACCGAUCAUGAACCUUCGUGGUGAAAGAUUUGAGUUUGAGCACAUAUGUUGGUACCCGAAAGAUGGUGAACUAUGCCUGAGUAGGGUGAAGCCAGGGAAACU
rnacentral:rRNA from 1 species